rnacentral:rRNA from 1 species
GCUAUGGGCGCAGCUGAUGCAGCAUGCCGCGUGAGUGAUGAGGCCUUCGGGUUGUAAAGCUCUUUUAUCCGGGAAGAAAAUGACCGGACCGGUAGAAGAUGCCCCGGACCGUUCCAUUCCAGCACCCCCCCCCUUAUUUUAUGCCCGCCGCCGCUAUAUUACGGU